rnacentral:rRNA from 1 species
AUUGAAACGCUGGCGGCAUGCUUUUUACACAUGCAAGUCGAACGGCAGCAUAGAGAGCUUGCUCUCUGAUGGCGAGUGGCGAAACGGGUGAGUAAUACAUCGGAACGUGUCCGUUUAGUGGGGGGACAACCAUCCGAAAGGAUGGCAAUACCGCAUAAGACCUGAGGGUGAAGCCGGGGACCGCAAGGCCUGGCGCGAACGGGGCGGCCGAUGACUGAUUAGCUGGUU